rnacentral:rRNA from 1 species
UACGAAGGGGGCUAGCGUUGUUCGGAAUUACUGGGCGUAAAGCGCGCGCAGGCGGUCUUCCAAGUCAGUGGUGAAAGCCUGGAGCUCAACUCCAGAACUGCCAUUGAAACUGUUAGGCUUGAGUACGAGAGAGGUGAGUGGAAUUCCCAGUGUAGAGGUGAAAUUCGUAGAUAUUGGGAAGAACACCAGUGGCGAAGGCGGCUUACUGGCUCGUAACUGACGCUCAGGCGCGACAGCGUGGGGAUCAAACAGG